UUUCGGUGUGGUUUACUGUGGCGGCUUC
rnacentral:sRNA from 1 species